rnacentral:tRNA from 2 species
GCCCCCGUAGCCCAAUUGGCAGAGGCAGGCGACUUAAAAUCGCCGUGUUGUGGGUUCGAGUCCCACCGGGGGCA